CAAAAGUGACGAGAAAUUUCCUCUGUGGCAAUCCAUACGGAGGAGGGUUAGAGCUCGGCGACGGCCACCGGAUUACCGUCUACUUCUCAAGGCUCUCUCUCUCUCGAGUGAGAGGCACUCGUGGCAGUGAUGCUCAUCUGUCCCCUUCACUGCAGAAAAAGGGUGUGGUGUUGUAGCAAGGGAGGGUUGCUCACACUUACAAAUCACCUUCAAUUGAAUUGACUUCGCAAUCUCCACUUUGCUUUACGUCAAGGGAAACUGCAUGCCCCUUCACUACCCACAAUCAUUGCUACUAUUUCAAAAAUAUAAAGUUUUAUGUAGACGAAAAGG